rnacentral:rRNA from 1 species
GAACCUUCGGGGAACGAUAACGGCGUCGAGCGGCGGACGGGUGAGUAAUGCCUAGGAAAUUGCCCUGAUGUGGGGGAUAACCAUUGGAAACGAUGGCUAAUACCGCAUAAUACCUACGGGUCAAAGAGGGGGACCUUCGGGCCUCUCGCGUCAGGAUAUGCCUAGGUGGGAUUAGCUAGUUGGUGAGGUAAUGGCUCACCAAGGCGACGAUCCCUAGCUGGUCUGAGAGGAUGAUCAGCCACACUGGAACUGAGACACGGUCCAGACUCCUACGGGAGGCAGCAGUGGGGAAUAUUGCACAAUGGGCGCAAGCCUGAUGCAGCCAUGCCGCGUGUGUGAAGAAGGCCUUCGGGUUGUAAAGCACUUUCAGUCGUGAGGAAGGUAGUGUAGUUAAUAGCUGCAUUAUUUGACGUUAGCGACAGAAGAAGCACCGGCUAACUCCGUGCCAGCAGCCGCGGUAAUACGGAGGGUGCGAGCGUUAAUCGGAAUUACUGGGCGUAAAGCGCAUGCAGGUGGUUUGUUAAGUCAGAUGUGAAAGCCCGGGGCUCAACCUCGGAAUAGCAUUUGAAACUGGCAGACUAGAGUACUGUAGAGGGGGGUAGAAUUUCAGGUGUAGCGGUGAAAUGCGUAGAGAUCUGA